UUGAACGCUGGCGGCAUGCUUUACACAUGCAAGUCGAACGGUAACAGGCCUUCGGGUGCUGACGAGUGGCGAACGGGUGAGUAAUGCAUCGGAACGUACCCAGAGGUGGGGGAUAACGCAGCGAAAGCUGUGCUAAUACCGCAUGUGAUCUGAGGAUGAAAGCGGGGGACCGAGCAGCAAUGUUUGGCCUCGCGCCUUUGGAGCGGCCGAUGUCGGAUUAGCUAGUUGGUGGGGUAAAGGCCUACCAAGGCGACGAUCCGUAGCUGGUCUGAGAGGACGACCAGCCACACUGGGACUGAGACACGGCCCAGACUCCUACGGGAGGCAGCAGUGGGGAAUUUUGGACAAUGGGCGCAAGCCUGAUCCGGCAAUGCCGCGUGCGGGAAGAAGGCCUUCGGGUUGUAAACCGCUUUUGGCAGGAACGAAACGGUGUCCGCUAAUACCGGGCGCUAAUGACGGUACCUGCAGAAUAAGCACCGGCUAACUACGUG
rnacentral:rRNA from 1 species